rnacentral:tRNA from 1 species
GCGGAUGUGUUGUAACUGGUAGCCAAGCCAGACUUAGGAUCUGGUGUCGCAAGACGUGUGGGUUCGAGUCCCCCCAUCCGCA